UGUCAUUCAAGGCAGAAGAAACAAUCUUUUCUUUGGCUUUUCAAAUGUAUUCACUAAGGGUUUCCUGCUCUGUGUUAAAAAAUGUUUGGGUAUCUUCAGGUCAGACUUUGACCUAAAUAAAGUUUCAUUGUCUCUAUGAAUUGCUUAGAUUUGGGAGCAACUGUUAUGGAAAAAUAACCAUAAACCUUUUUCUUCUAAAGUGAGGGCUCCGUCUGGGUUGACCAUAACCUAUUGCAAAAGUUAGAAGUCCUUGAGGUGAUGGGUUAGUGUCAAAUGUCUGCUUGGGUCUCUUCCAGGAUUGAACAGCGACUGGAGGAUCAGGGAAGAGUUCUUUGGUGGAAGCUCAGUUAAGAGCAGACUGAGGUGAAUGAAGGUGCAAGCAAACCAAAACCCCGAACAAGCCAUCUGUUCCCAGUGGAAACAGGACUGAGCUGCUGCGACCCCUGAAAUGGUCUCCCUGCGACCACCCGGGACACACCGAGCCUGCGCUGAACCAGGGCACGAUCGGACAGAGACUUUGGGACCUGGACUGCAAAUUACUGCUGCUUAGCACAACUUUUAUAAAACUUGCUUAGCAUGAGUAGCUAAAUUUGCUGAAGCCUUAGGCCGCACUCCCUAGUUCAGAGAGAAAGGGCCCCAGAGCUGGUGCAGACUGGAAAGAUAAGGGAGUUACAAGCAGUUUGCAUUCCUGUGCUUCACACUCCGGGAGGGAGGAUGUCAAGGCUUUGAAAUAAGGCCUGCUUGGGCGCCAGGACCCUGGGAAACAAAGCCUCCCCUCACUGCUGAAACAGUGUUAAUUAGGGGGGGGUCUGGAUUAUAUCCUCUUCGUCGGGACCUUGGAAGAUAACAGCUACUGUCACUGCUGGGGCAGUGCUAAUUGCUGGAACAACACCUGUUUGUCAGGGCCCUGAGAAAGAAGGGCAGAACCAGAGGAAUCAAAACACAUUUGUCAGCAGAAACCGCAACAGUAAAGAUAAGGGAGAAAAGCAGCCUGCCUGGGAACAACGAUGAGACCCAAUAGGGAGCAGGAGACCCCAGACCCAAAAAUUACUAUUGGUCUGAACUACCGCGUGAGGGGUGGGAAACUUAAUUUGAAAAAGCUAUAAUUGCCCAGGGAUUUCUUUGUUCGGGGUCCCUCUUUGGAGGCACCCAACUCGAGCUGUAACUACUGCAUGCGUGUCAUUACAAUUUAUUUAUUUAAUUUGCCUUGAUUUGGCUCCAAACUUUUCAGCGGGAACCUAGGGUCGGACCCUGCUCGAGUUGUAAUUACCGCACGCGCAUCGCUAAAAUUUACACCCAGGGGACCAACGGGACGCCGCUGGAUCCACGGGUGGUGAUAUCUCUUUCUCUCUCCCCCUUUUCUCUCUCUCUCUUUCUCUCUCUCCUCCCCUUUGCCUUUCCCCACCUUUUCUCCCCACUCCGUGGAAAAUAAAGUUAAAAGGUUAUACGAUA